AUUUGGUGGGAAUGGUGAGUCCAUUCAUGUGAAAUUUAAUUAUCUAUGUUGCUGAAGUAUGUUCAAUAUUUACAUCUAGAUGUUGUAGCUAGAUGUACAUUUGUCAUUUGUUCAUUUGUUUGUUUGUUUGUUUUUACUUUUUGAGACAGAGUCUCACUAUGUAGGAGACAGAUCUGGAACUCACUAUGUGGCCCAGGCUGGUCUCGAACUCACAGCCAGCGAUCCUCCUGCCUCACCGUCCAGCGUGCUGGGAUUACAGGAGUGUGCCACCACGCCUGGCUGUUCAUUUGUUCUUUAAGCAGGGAAGGGGUCGGAGGAGACCGCCCAUGCUUAGUGACUCUGGUGUCCAGUUUCUGUCAGAAGCCCAUAAGUCCUGCUGGACCUUUGCCUCCCAGGUAGUCAGAGGUGAGUGCUGAGCUGGUUCCGCUCCGCCACGACUCUGAUCUGACUGCCCCUCACAUCCAGAAUGCCCCUUCGUAUACCAGAUUGGGUCCCCCUGAGUGCCCUUACCAGGCCCAGGCCAGCCGUCUGCAGAAGAGCAAUGAACCUUCC
rnacentral:lncRNA from 1 species